UACGUAGGGGGCAAGCGUUGUCCGGAUUUAUUGGGCGUAAAGAGCUCGUAGGUGGUUCGGUAAGUCGGAUGUGAAAUCUCCAGGCUCAACCUGGAGGGGUCAUUCGAUACUGCCGUGACUAGAGGUCGGUAGGGGAGUGUGGAAUUCCUGGUGGAGCGGUGAAAUGCGCAGAUAUCAGGAGGAACACCCGUAGCGAAGGCGGCACUCUGGGCCGAUGCUGACACUGAGGAGCGAAAGCGUGGGGAGCGAACAGG
rnacentral:rRNA from 1 species